CACGUAGGGGCCAAGCGUUGUCCGGAUUUAUUGGGCGUAAAGAGCUCGUAGGCGGCUCGGUAAGUCAGGUGUGAAACCUCCAGGCUCAACCUGGAGACGCCACCUGGUACUGCUGUGGCUAGAGUCCGGUAGGGGAGCGUGGAAUUCCUGGUGUAGCGGUGAAAUGCGCAGAUAUCAGGAGGAACACCAGCGGCGAAGGCGGCGCUCUGGGCCGGAACUGACGCUGAGGAGCGAAAGCGUGGGUAGCAAACAGG
rnacentral:rRNA from 1 species